rnacentral:rRNA from 1 species
ACCUACGGGCGGCUGCAGUGGGGAAUAUUGCACAAUGGGCGAAAGCCUGAUGCAGCAACGCCGCGUGAGGGACGACGGCCUUCGGGUUGUAAACCUCUUUUAGUAGGGAAGAAGCGAAAGUGACGGUACCUGCAGAAAAAGCACCGGCUAACUACGUGCCAGCAGCCGCGGUAAUACGUAGGGUGCAAGCGUUAUCCGGAAUUAUUGGGCGUAAAGAGCUCGUAGGCGGUCUGUCGCGUCUGCUGUGAAAACUGGGGGCUCAACCUCCAGCCUGCAGUGGGUACGGGCAGACUAGAGUGCGGUAGGGGAGAUUGGAAUUCCUGGUGUAGCGGUGGAAUGCGCAGAUAUCAGGAGGAACACCGAUGGCGAAGGCAGAUCUCUGGGCCGUAACUGACGCUGAGGAGCGAAAGCGUGGGGAGCGAACAGGAUUAGAUACCCUAGUAGUC